UACGUAGGGUGCAAGCGUUGUCCGGAAUUAUUGGGCGUAAAGAGCUCGUAGGCGGUCUGUUGCGUCGGCUGUGAAAACCCGGGGCUCAACUCCGGGCCUGCAGCCGAUACGGGCAGACUAGAGUUCGGCAGGGGAGACUGGAAUUCCUGGUGUAGCGGUGAAAUGCGCAGAUAUCAGGAGGAACACCGGUGGCGAAGGCGGGUCUCUGGGCCGUACCUGACACUGAUGCGCGACAGCAUGGGGAGCAAACAGG
rnacentral:rRNA from 1 species